GAUAUUCUGGUGUCCUAGGCGUAGAGGAACCACACCAAUCCAUCCCGAAUUUGGUGGUUAAACUCUACUGCGGUGACGAUACUGUAGGGGAGGUCCUGCGGCAAAAUAGCUCGAUGCCAGAAU
rnacentral:rRNA from 2 species